GGACUACUCGGGUAUCUAAUCCUGUUUGCUCCCCUUGCUUUCGCGCAUUAGCGUCAGGUAUAAGCUAGAAAACCGCCUUCGCCACUGGUGUUCUUCCACAUAUCUACGCAUUUCACCGCUACUUGUGGAAUUCCAUUUUCUCCGCCUACCCUCUAGAAUGACAGUUUCAAAUGCUGUUCCGGGGUUGAGCCCCGGGCUUUCACAUCUGACUUAUCUUCCCGCCUACGCGCCCUUUACGCCCAAUAAAUCCGAUUAAUGCUCGCACCCUACGUAUUACCGCGGCUGCUGGCAC
rnacentral:rRNA from 1 species